rnacentral:rRNA from 1 species
ACUCCUACGGGAGGCAGCAGUGAGGAAUAUUGGUCAAUGGAGGGAACUCUGAACCAGCCAUCCCGCGUGUAGGAAGACGGCCUUAUGGGUUGUAAACUACUUUUAUACAGGAAGAAACGUACCCUCGUGAGGGUGCCUGACGGUACUGUAGGAAUAAGCACCGGCUAACUCCGUGCCAGCAGCCGCGGUAAUACGGAGGGGUGCGAGCGUUAUCCGGAUUUAUUGGGGUUUAAAGGGUCCGUAGGCGGAUUAAUAAGUCAGUGGUGAAAUCCCAUCGCUUAACGAUGGAACUGCCAUUGAUACUGUUAGUCUUGAAUGAGGGUGCAGUGGUUGGAAUGUGUAGUGUAGCGGUGAAAUGCAUAGAUAUUACACAGAACACCGAUUGCGAAGGCAGAUCACUAACCCUAAAUUGACGCUGAGGGACGAAAGCGUGGGGAGCAAACAGGAUUAGAUACCCUGGUAGCGACUGA